AUUGCGUCUCGGCCUUUUGGCUAAGAUCAAGGGUAACAUCUGUCCUGAUCAGUUUGACAUCUGCUACGUCCUCUAAUGACAACAGAUGAAUGGGUUUUGGAGCAGGGAGAUGGAAUAGGAGCUUGCUGCAUCCCCUGGGUAUGGCAGUACCUCUGGGAAUGGCACACCCCCU
rnacentral:snRNA from 1 species